rnacentral:piRNA from 1 species
UCCAUUUGGGCCUAGACGCUUGGGAACUC